AUCAGAGCUCAUCCAGUGUAACAGGAACAAGAAGCCAUUCUGAAAACAUACAAAAAACUGAUCAAUCAUCAUCAAAUGGCACCCUGAAGACUGUGUGGUGCUGCAGAAAAGGCUGGAGACAGCAGACUGCAACCGAAACGCCUGCCUGUGCUAAUCACCUCACCUCCUGGUAACAAGCAGAGCAACUUUGCAGGUUCAUUAGUGCUACUGCUCUCUUUAUAAUGCAUUCCGGCAACUGUCUUAAAGAAAGGCCUGCAGACAAAUAUAAUCUCCUCGGGUUUGCAUCACCCCACUGAGAAGCGAUUCUAACCUACCUCUCUCUCGCUCCUGGGGGACACAGCAGGGGUUCUGCGCUUCGGGGGAUGGAGAGGACAGAGAAAGAGAGAAAGGCUGGAAGAACACGACCACUUACCGCUCUUACACACCGGGCAGC